rnacentral:rRNA from 1 species
GAUGAACGCUGGCGGCGUGCCUAAUACAUGCAAGUCGAGCGAACGGACGAGAAGCUUGCUUCUCUGAUGUUAGCGGCGGACGGGUGAGUAACACGUGGAUAACCUACCUAUAAGACUGGGAUAACUUCGGGAAACCGGAGCUAAUACCGGAUAAUAUUUUGAACCGCAUGGUUCAAAAGUGAAAGACGGUCUUGCUGUCACUUAUAGAUGGAUCCGCGCUGCAUUAGCUAGUUGGUAAGGUAACGGCUUACCAAGGCAACGAUGCAUAGCAGACCUGAGAGGGUGAUCGGCCACACUGGAACUGAGACACGGUCCAGACUCCUACGGGAGGCAGCAGUAGGGAAUCUUCCGCAAUGGGCGAAAGCCUGACGGAGCAACGCCGCGUGAGUGAUGAAGGUCUUCGGAUCGUAAAACUCUGUCAUUAGGGAAGAACAUAUGUGUAAGUAACUGUGCACAUCUUGACGGUACCUAAUCAGAAAGCCACGGCUAACUACGUG